AUGUUGGGAAAGAUGGAGGGCACAAGGAGAAGGGGACGACGGAGAAUGAGAUGGUUGGAUGGUGUUCUUGAAGCUACCAGCAUGAGUUUGAUCAAACUGCGAGAGGCAGUGAAGGACAGAAGUGCCUGGCGUGCUCUGGUCCAUGGGGUCACGAAGAGUCGGACACGACUAAACGACUAAACAACAACAAACAAGGAACCAACAGCAGCUGAAAAGCAUGUCGAACCAUGUGUCCUUUUUUUCCAGGACACGUCCUCUUUUUC